rnacentral:lncRNA from 13 species
UUUACCUGAAGGUAACCUGUGAAGAGGAGUCUGACAGCGUGUUGGGUUUUACCUGAAGGUGACCUGUAAAGAGGAGUCUGACAGCGCGUUGGGUUUUACCUGAAGGUGACCUGUAAAGAGGAGAGGAGUCUGACAGCGUGUUGGGUUUUACCUGAAGGUGACCUGUAAAGAGGAGUCUGACAGCGUGUUGGGGUUUUACCUGAAGGUGACCUGUAAAGAGUCUGACAGCGUGUUGGGUUUUACCUGAAGGUGACCUGUAAAGAGGAGAGGAGUCUGACAGCGUGUUGGGGUUUUACCUGAAGGUGACCUGUAAAGAGGAGUCUGACAGCGUGUUGGGUUUUACCUGAAGGUGACCUGUAAAGAGGAGUCUGACAGCGUGUUGGGUUUUACCUGAAGGUGACCUGUAAAGAGGAGUCUGACAGCGUGUUGGGUUUUACC